CACAUGUCAACUACAGUAGAACCUACAACCUGGUCUGAUAGCUGCAGUAGAACUCUAAGGUCCUUUGGAGACAGCUGUUUUCCAGACUCCAAAGUAUCAUGUCACACAGGUGGGAAAUGAAGUGUUUUUCAAGUGUGAUCAAAAUCUGGGGCACGACACUAUGUACUGGUACAAGCAAGACUCUAAGCGAUUGCUGAAGAUUAUGUUUAGCUACAAUAAUAAACAACCCAUUAUAAAUGAAA